rnacentral:rRNA from 1 species
AACGAACGUUGGCGGCGUGGAUGAGGCAUGCAAGUCGAACGCGAAAGCCGCAAGGCGAGUAAAGUGGCGGACGGGCGAGUAACACGUAAUCAAGCUACCUGCGAGACGGGGAUAACUUCGGGAAACCGAAGCUAAGACCCGAUGGUCUUCUAGGAACGCAUGUUCCAUGAAGUAAAUGGGCGAGAUCCUCCGGGAUCGCCUGCUCGCAGAGGUGAUUGCGGCCCAUCAGCUAGUUGGUAGGGUAAUGGCCUACCAAGGCAACGACGGGUAGCCGGCCUUAGAGGGUGGUCGGCCGCACUGGGACUGAGACACUGCCCAGACUCCUACGGGAGGCUGCAGUCGAGAAUCUUCCGCAAUGGGCGAAAGCCUGACGGAGCGACGCCGCGUGGAGGAUGAAGGCC